rnacentral:rRNA from 1 species
AUGUCCUUGUACUGCUACAUUAUUGUUUUUGUGUUAUUAUCAUUACAUGUUAUCAUUGCCAUCGUGACAGAUUAUGCCUGCAGUGGCGAUGAUUGGUCUGUUAUAGAAAAUAUCCGGUCUGAACCAAGCAAAGAAAGAAAUUUAGUGAGCAUCGGCGACGCAUUUUUGAAAAAAAGACAUUUACUAUCUCUUCUAACUCCUGGAGAAUGGGUUGGCGACGAAGUCAUAAAUACGUACAUAAAUUGCAUGACUGCUAUGGAGCAUCUACAAGUAAGGUCAGGUGGAAGUGUGUUCUUAGAGAAUGCAUGCAUCUCAAAGAUGAUAAAGAUCGGUAGCUAUCUUCCCUCAGAUGACAUGGAUGUUGCACCAGCAUGGGUACUAAACAGAGCCAAAGCGUAUUUGGAAAAUGAUAUGGUAUACUUUCCAAUAAACAUGGAGGACGUUCACUGGUACCUAUGUGUUAUAAAUGCCAUAAAAAAAUGUGUCCAGGUGCUCGACUCGCUAGGCCCAUACAUGAGCCGCAAGGACCUCACUGAUACGCUAGAAGGACUGGAGGAUUUAUUCAAAUAUGCAUCCAAGCACAUGGAAUUAAAAUCCGAUAAGUGGACUGAUCUAGAUGUUACAACAUGGAAAAGAGAAGAAUAUAUUAAGAGCAGUCUUCAGAACGAUGGGUCAUCUUGUGGUCUCUGGAUGUUAAAUUACAUGGAGUACUUCACAGGAGAUAGUCUGUCUGACACUCCCGAACAGGUUCAUAUGACAGAUUUUAGAACAAAAUUAGCUGUCAUUUUAGUCGACUUGGAAUUCAAUGAUGAUGAUAUAAGAAACCGAGACUUGGAUGAUGAUGAAACCAACACGGAUCCCACCGAUUGUAUGAUCGUCGAAAGACCUCCUAACAAACCCAAAGCAUCCAACUCAUCAUCACAAGUUGAGCUCAUCUCGCAAUCAUUUAUCCUUUCGCCGUUUGUCACUCCAACAAACGACAACUUAAUGGAUGAACUUUGCUUGUUCAUCAGCAUGGUUGAUGAUAUCCCUUUGCUAGAGAGCGAAUGGGUGAAAAGCUCUCAACCUUAUCCUAUUAGUUUGAACUUGAGACAAUUAAAGAACAUAUUAAAGAAUGAUGAGUACAUGGAUGCUGAUUGUUUUAACAUGGCUGUGAGGAUACUAGCAUGCCACGACGUCCAGCUUGCUAGAGACGUCCCAACACACUAUAUGGAUCUACGAUUCUGUUAUGCACGAGUCCCAAGUCAUCAUGAUGGUAUGGACAUUGCUAUGUUGGCACAACUAUUUGAUAGCUGGCCUAAUAGCAAUGAGUAUCAUAUCUCAGAAUGUGAUACGAUUUUAUUGCCUUGUGAUAUUCUUGGACUAUUUUUGUUGUUCAUCUUGGACCAACAAAAAAAAUUGUUUCUAUUUUGGACCCGCUUUCAAUACCUACUUUCGGAAAGCAUAUACUUAAAACUAUGGUCAACGAUCUAA